rnacentral:rRNA from 1 species
UACGUAGGCAGCAAGCGUUGUUCGGAAUUACUGGGCGUAAAGAGUGUGUAGGCGGUGCUCUAAGUUCGGUGUGAAAUCUCCCGGCUUAACUGGGAGGAUGCGCCGGAAACUGGAGUGCUCGAGCGUGGGAGAGGAAAGCGGAAUUCCUGGUGUAGCGGUGAAAUGCGUAGAUAUCAGGAGGAACACCUGCGGUGUAGACGGCUUUCUGGACCAUUGCUGACGCUGAGACACGAAAGCGUGGGUAGCAAACAGG